UACGGAGGGGGCUAGCGUUGUUCGGAAUUACUGGGCGUAAAGCGCGCGUAGGCGGACCUGCAAGUCGGGGGUGAAAGCCCGAGGCUCAACCUCGGAACUGCCUUCGAUACUGCGGGUCUCGAGUCCGGGAGAGGUGAGUGGAAUUCCUAGUGUAGAGGUGAAAUUCGUAGAUAUUAGGAAGAACACCAGUGGCGAAGGCGGCUCACUGGACCGGAACUGACGCUGAGGCGCGAAAGCGUGGGGAGCAAACGGG
rnacentral:rRNA from 1 species